rnacentral:rRNA from 1 species
CUUCGGUUCACCGAGAAAUGGGAGCGGCGAACGGGUGAGUAACACGUGGGUAACCUACCCAUCAGCGGGGGAUAACACUUGGAAACAGGUGCUAAUACCGCAUAAUUCUUUUCUUCGCCUGGAGGAAAGAUGAAAGACGCUUUUGCGUCACUGAUGGAUGGACCCGCGCUGCAUUAGCUAGUUGGCGGGGUAACGGCUCACCAAGACCACGAUGCAUAGCCGACCUGAGAGGGUGAUCGGCCACACUGGGACUGAGACACGGCCCAGACUCCUACGGGAGGCAGCAGUAGGGAAUCUUCGGCAAUGGACGAAAGUCUGACCGAGCAACGCCGCGUGAGUGAAGAAGGUUUUCGGAUCGUAAAACUCUGUUGUUAGAGAAGAAUAAGGAUGAGAGUAGAAUGUUCAUCCCUUGACGGUAUCUAACCAGAAAGCCACGGCUAACUACGUGCCAGCAGCCGCGGUAAUACGUAGGUGGCAAGCGUUGUCCGGAUUUAUUGGGCGUAAAGCGAGCGCAGGCGGUUUCUUAAGUCUGAUGUGAAAGCCCCCGGCUUAACCGGGGAGGGUCAUUGGAAACUGGGAGACUUGAGUGCAGAAGAGGAGAGUGGAAUUCCAUGUGUAGCGGUGAAAUGCGUAGAUAUAUGGAGGAACACCAGUGGCGAAGGCGACUCUCUGGUCUGUAACUGACGCUGA